rnacentral:rRNA from 1 species
GUGCCAGCCGCCGCGGUAAUACGUAGGGGGCAAGCGUUGUCCGGAUUUAUUGGGCGUAAAGCGCUCGCAGGUGGUCCGUCGCGUCGUGCGUGAAAGCCCCCGGCUCAACUGGGGAGUGUCGUGCGAUACGGGCGGACUGGAGGCCAGUAGGGGGAUGCGGAAUUCCGGGUGUAGUGGUGGAAUGCGUAGAGAUCCGGAGGAACACCAGCGGCGAAGGCGGCAUCCUGGACUGGUCCUGACACUCAUGAGCGAAAGCGUGGGGAGCGAUCCGGAUUAGAUACCCCUGUAGUCC